UACGUAGGCAGCGAGCGUUGUUCGGAGUUACUGGGCGUAAAGGGUGUGUAGGCGGUUGUCUAAGUUGGUGUGAAAUCUCCCGGCUCAACUGGGAGGGUGCGCCGAAUACUGAAUGACUAGAGUGCGGGAGAGGAAAGUGGAAUUCCUGGUGUAGCGGUGAAAUGCGUAGAUAUCAGGAGGAACACCGGUGGUGUAGACGGCUUUCUGGACCGUAACUGACGCUGAGACACGAAAGCGUGGGUAGCAAACAGG
rnacentral:rRNA from 1 species